rnacentral:rRNA from 1 species
AUACCAACUCCCCGAGUGGUCGGGACGAUUAUUGGGCUUAAAGCAUCCGUAGCCGGUCGGGUGUGUCGGCGGUCAAAUCCGACGUCUCAAGCGUCGGACUGCCGGCGAUACUACCCGGCUAGGGAGCGGGAGAGGCGGCCGGUAUUCCCGGGGUAGGGGUAAAAUCCUCAGAUCCCGGGAGGACCAUCGGUGGCGAAGGCGGGCCGCUAGAACGCGUCCGACGGUGAGAGACGAAAGCUGGGGGAGCGAUCCGGAUUAGAUACCCUAGUAGUCC